GAUGAACGCUGGCGGCGUGCCUAAUACAUGCAAGUCGAGCGAACAGACGAGGAGCUUGCUCCUCUGACGUUAGCGGCGGACGGGUGAGUAACACGUGGAUAACCUACCUAUAAGACUGGGAUAACUUCGGGAAACCGGAGCUAAUACCGGAUAAUAUAUUGAACCGCAUGGUUCAAUAGUGAAAGACGGUUUUGCUGUCACUUAUAGAUGGAUCCGCGCCGCAUUAGCUAGUUGGUAAGGUAACGGCUUACCAAGGCAACGAUGCGUAGCCGACCUGAGAGGGGGAUCGCCCACACUGGAACUGAGACGCGGUCCAGGCUCCUACGGGAGGCAGCAGUAGGGAAUCUUCCGCAAUGGGCGAAAGCCUGACGGAGCAACGCCGCGUGAGUGAUGAAGGUCUUCGGAUCGUAAAACUCUGUUAUUAGGGAAGAACAAAUGUGUAAGUAACUAUGCACGUCUUGACGGUACCUAAUCAGAAAGCCACGGCUAACUACGUG
rnacentral:rRNA from 1 species